CAGGGAAGGAAGUAUCCAAAUCAAGGAGAUUAGCCUGGUUGCAAUAGUACAGCAUUAGUAGCAUCUAGCAAGGAAGGGGUAGGAGAGAGAUACUGAGGGCAGACACAGGUAUAGAGAAAGGGAGAAAACAGAUUCAAGAAGUGUAAACUCUUCUACCAAAGAUGAAUAUCCAGCAAUAGAUUCAAGAAAAAAAAUUUUCCCUCAUUUCUUCUAGUCCCCAUGGGAACCCCUCUCUGAAGGGUUGUGCCCUAUACAGCAUCACAAAGCCUAGUAUUUGAUAAUAUGCUGUCUGGUUAUUGAUUGUGUGAGUUGUAGGAUGUGAGCACAGCUGGAAGCCAAUCAUCACCCAGCUCAUUCUUCUCAUACAGAUAAUCCAACUGAGGCACAAAGCAGGGAUGUAAAGCAUUUAUAAUGGAGAAAUUCUAUAAUACAUAGACAUUCUUGAUUAGAUGGAAGAUAACCUUAGUAAAGAUGGCUUUAGCAGCUGGAGAGAACAGGAGCAUUCUCUUUCCGAAGGUGGAGUUUGAGGUCUCAGUUCAAGAUUCCCUCGAAUCUGCACAAUGUUAGACCUCCUUCAAUAGAUACAAGAGCAACAGAGAGACACGAUGAAAAAUCAAUCACUCAAUCAGUCAACAAGGCCCUGGAUAAAUGGUCAAGAGAAGAGGAAAAAGUCAAGGAAAUCCCACACCGGCUGAUGAGAUUACUAAGAGGAUAGAGAGAAAGAAG
rnacentral:lncRNA from 1 species